GUCUACAGCUAUACCACCCCGAACGCGUCCGAUCUCGUCUGACCUUGGAAGCUAAGCAAGGUCGGGCCUCGUUAGUACUUGGAUGGGAGGAAAAGUACAGCUGUUGGUA
rnacentral:rRNA from 1 species